rnacentral:misc_RNA from 1 species
CAAAAUCUUCGUGGAAGCUUUAGCCCCAUCCCCAUUCUACUGGAUCAUCUCAAUAUUGACAGUCAUUUCAGCUCUAAUUCCAUACUUUGCAUACAAUGCUAUUCAAACGCGGUUCUUCCCAAUGUACCACGGGAUGAUUCAAUGGAUAAGAUACGAGGGAAGGUCUGAGGACCCAGAGUUCUGCCAUAUGGUAAGACAGAGGUCAAUAAGGCCCACAACCGUAGGUUUCACUGCUCGUUCAUUGGCUAGAAGAGAUCCUUUGGAAGAGAAGAAAGAGCACAAUAGUAGCCAUAGAUAACACCUGAAUAGGUAUUCUCAGCAGAGACAUUAACUUUUGGACCUACAAAAAAACCACUGUCAAGCAGGAACUUGCUCAUUGUACAUGUUUUCCGAGCUGGUCCUGUACAUGACUACUGAUAUUGAAGCCACAGCGUCGAGGUUCAAUUGGUGCUAAGCUAUAAUAGUAGAUAACAUGUCUUAAAUGAGCAAAGAUGUCUCAUGAGUUUGUAAAUUUUGCCAGCUGGUAAUAUAUUUGUAAUUCUUUCAUUCUAUAUCCUGUAAAAUUGUUAAAGUUUUUGUUGUUGAAUACCAG